GCCGGGCAUGGUGGCCCACGCCUGUAGUCCCAGCUACUUGGGAGGCUGAGGCAAGAGGAACCCUUGAGCCCAGGAGACUGAGGCUGCAGUGCGCCAUGUUUGUGCCACUGCAUUCCAGCCUGGGUAACAGAAUGUGACCCUGUCUCAA
ensembl:misc_RNA Metazoa_SRP Metazoan signal recognition particle RNA